rnacentral:lncRNA from 1 species
UAAAAGGUCUUCAUUGGAUCAUAAAGUUGGCUACUACAGAAAGAUUUUAUGACUCAAGCUUCAUACAGCUUUGUCAAUUCCCGGAGUGAUCAAAUCCCCGCAAACUGCUGUGCGUGUGCUUCGGCCCACCAGUAGAGGGCAGCAUUCCCCAGACUAACAGCGCUUCAGGAUGCAGAUAUCAGACCUGGCAGUGAGAAGGAAACGACAAAAUCCACAAGGCAUGAACCACGAUGGGGCCCUCCUGGAGAUACUGAAACACAUUAGGUUGCUGACCUCACUUUGGCAAUUUCUACUAAAGGAAAGAACGCAAAGGGCAAGCAUACUUAUCCAUCAGAUAUCCAAGAACUGGCGAGAAAUUCAAACAUACACAAAUUUUUUGGUUGUAGAAGGAAAGGCAGCUCAUUUUUGGCUACCAUUUUGCUAA